AAUGUUCGUUCAAAAGUUUUUAAUGCAGAUAUACAGGCGUCUUUAUGCAUAAACAACAAGGUCACUAAGACAUAAUAUACAGUAUUUCAUAUCAUCAUGUAGUAGUUAGCUAGACUAGCUGGCUGGUUAGGCUUACAAUGAAAUGCAGUGUGUCCGGUUACCUGAAAACUUCGAGUGUUUAAACUAACAUUUAUUUGAUGGUGUAUUGGCCCUGACUAGAUUCGUGUGACAUGUAGGCUAAACCACAAUCCUUGUUGAUACCAGAGGUGGACAUUACUUAAUCAUUCGUAUAAAGGACCAACAUGGACCAGUAGUUAUUUCAUGCUGCCCUUCGGCAGUACCUACUAAGUGGGAUGUCGAUGUCGCGGUUGACUGGAAGAGAGUCAUGCGGGUGGCCAACCACUUCGUUGUAGAUGGUUUGUCCAUGCUGAUGGCUAUGCAGCAUAGUUGAAGCAGACCUGUCAGAAAACUUCUCUAAGGUGCUAUGAAUCCUAUGACUAGAUACACAUCCUAAAAUUACUAGAGGUUACGGAAGCUCCUUUUUGGAUCCAGCUUCAUUUGUGAAGACUUCAGAUGAUGCCAACACUCACAGAGGCUUAAGAUGAUGGCAACAAUAGAUGGACAUACAAAAUUGCCAAAUAUAAUAUUGUAAUUACUGCCCAAAGCGCAAGUUUGCCGAUUUUUAACCCACUUUAUAUUGUUACAAAUACAAUAGAUGCUAACAUUUGAACAGAAAAUGUUUCCUCUUUAUUCUUGAGUUAAUUGUGCUGAUUUAUUCCCAUUUUUUUAUCCACAAUUCUUUGCCAAAAUUAUGUUUUGCAUCAUCCAAAUGGUUCAUUUUCAAAUUACAGACAUUGUAACAACACAAAGUGGGUUGAAAUUCUGCCAACUUACCCUAUAAUAAUAAUAAUUGUCUUUUAACUGAGCAGGACUUUAAACACAUGACUUGUAUUAACUUAGAGCUAUUGUGAAAUUAAUAUUGUUUUGUUUCCAGAACAUUCUCCUCAGUGAGUCACUGUUACCUCAGACUGAUUAAGGGAUUUUUUGUAACCUUGAAACAUGCAUUGGUUUUAUUAUGGUAAAACUGCAGAUCUUAUUUCAAACCAAGGUUUUGUAACCAUGGUUCUACUACAGUAACAUUAUAGUAAUGCUGGAGUGAAACUGUGGUAACCAUAUUAUUUUAAAUCAUGGUAAAGUUUGUGGUUACUAAAAUGCACUUCUAUAUGCUGUUGUAAGAGCAUGAUUAUUUUUUAUUUAUUAAUAAACCAUGGUUGAUUUUA